rnacentral:rRNA from 1 species
UUUAACCUACGGGGCGCGGCAGUGAGGAAUAUUGGUCAAUGGGCGGGAGCCUGAACCAGCCAAGUCGCGUGAGGGAAGACGGUCCUACGGAUUGUAAACCUCUUUUGCCGGGGAGCGACGGGGUCCUUGCGAGGUCCCAAUGAGAGUACCCGGAGAAAAAGCAUCGGCUAACUCCGUGCCAGCAGCCGCGGUAAUACGGAGGAUGCGAGCGUUAUCCGGAUUUAUUGGGUUUAAAGGGUGCGUAGGCGGGCUGUUAAGUCAGCGGUCAAAUGUCGGGGCUCAACCCCGGCCUGCCGUUGAAACUG